GUGAAUAGUAAAUAUAUUUUUACAAAGUUCAACUUAAUUUCAUAUGUUGUCCCUACAAAAGUCCUGAUGUUUUCAAAUAUAUCACUGCUGUUAGAAUCCGUUAUAAAAGUUUAGUUAACUAUAGAUUAAAUACUUAAUCUUGGUUAAUUUUUAAUAAUUUUACCCUUCUUAUAUUAUAAUAUUAUGGCUUUUGGAGGGAUAUAUAUUUGUGUUAACAAAAUUGAAAAUAUAAACGGUUCUCUAACGGUAACAAGCCAGAGAGAUAUAUUGGAAAAUAUGAGA
rnacentral:lncRNA from 1 species